rnacentral:rRNA from 1 species
GUAGGGUGCGAGCGUUAUCCGGAAUCAUUGGGCGUAAAGAGCUCGUAGGCGGUUCAGCAAGUCGGCUGUGAAAUUCCGAGGGCUCAACCUCGGAACUGCAGUCGAUACUGCUGUAACUCGAGUCCGGUAGAGGAGAAUGGAAUUCCCGGUGUAGCGGUGAAAUGCGCAGAUAUCGGGAGGAACACCAGUAGCGAAGGCGGUUCUCUGGGCCGGCACUGACGCUGAGGAGCGAAAGCGUGGGUAGCAAACAGGAUUAGAUAGCCUGGUAGUCCACGCCGUAAACGUUGGAUACUAGGUGUGGGGUUCCGACCAACGGUCCCCGUGCCGAAGCUAACGCAUUAAGUAUCCCGCCUGGGGAGUACGGCCGCAAGGCUA